UGGUAAUUUAUGCCUUUUUUGGUUCUGGC
rnacentral:piRNA from 1 species